rnacentral:rRNA from 1 species
UACGUAGGCAGCAAGCGUUGUUCGGAAUUACUGGGCGUAAAGCGCGCGUAGGCGGCUUUGUAAGUUAGAGGUGAAAGCCCGGGGCUCAACCCCCGGAACUGCCUUUAAGACUGCAUCGCUUGAAUCCAGGAGAGGUGAGUGGAAUUCCGAGUGUAGAGGUGAAAUUCGUAGAUAUUCGGAAGAACACCAGUGGCGAAGGCGGCUCACUGGACUGGUAUUGACGCUGAGGAGCGAAAAGCGUGGGGAGCAAACAGG